GUGCUCGCUUUGGCAGCACAUAUACUAAAAUUGGAAUGAUACAGAAAAGAUUAGCAUGGCCCCUGCGCAAGGAUGACACGCAAAUUUGUGAAGCGUUCCAUAAAAAA
rnacentral:snRNA from 1 species